rnacentral:rRNA from 1 species
UUUAUUGGAGAGUUUGAUCUUGGCUCAGGACGAACGCUGGCGGCGUGCCUAAUACAUGCAAGUCGAGCGCGGGAAGCAGG